rnacentral:rRNA from 1 species
CCUACGGGUGGCAGCAGUGAGGAAUAUUGGUCAAUGGACGAGAGUCUGAACCAGCCAAGUAGCGUGAAGGAUGACUGCCCUAUGGGUUGUAAACUUCUUUUAUAUGGGAAUAAAAUGCUCCACGUGUGGGAUUUUGUAUGUACCAUAUGAAUAAGGAUCGGCUAACUCCGUGCCAGCAGCCGCGGUAAUACGGAGGAUCCGAGCGUUAUCCGGAUUUAUUGGGUUUAAAGGGAGCGUAGGUGGAUUGUUAAGUCAGUUGUGAAAGUUUGCGGCUCAACCGUAAAAUUGCAGUUGAAACUGGCAGUCUUGAGUACAGUAGAGGUGGGCGGAAGUCGUGGUGUAGCGGUGAAAUGCUUAGAUAUCACGAAGAACUCCGAUUGCGAAGGCAGUUCACUGGACUGCAACUGACACUGAGGCUCGAAAGUGUGGGUAUCAAACAGGAUUAGAUACCCCUGUAGUC